UUGGCGUCUAGCUUUCUACCCAUUAAGGAAACACACGGUGGAAAAGACUGAGUUGACCCAAGGGCGCAGUGGCUGCCUCUCCCCUGGCAGUGUGGACCAUCUAGCCGUCUUGCUCCAGUUCCUAGUCAAAAUAACCUUGGAAAAAGUGCCCAACGAAUAGGAGCUCAGCGACUGGCUUGCUGCCACCAUGGAAUGAAAGUGUACUGGGGCAAAUGGAGAUCUGGUCAGGAGGACACGUUGGUUUCAGCUUCGGUGCUGCCUCCUUGAGGCUGAUGCAAUUGUGUGUUUAAGGGUUCAACGUUGCGUCCAGAUGCAGCAAGAAAGAGGGCCAUAACCCAUCACUGUUUUCUGAGAAGUUUUCCUAGAUGGCUCAGUGGUAGUCUCUGCCUACCAAUGCAGGAGGUGCAGGAUACUUCGGUUUGAUCUCUGGGUCAGGAAGAUCCCCUGGAGGUGGAAAUGGCAACCCACUACAGUAUUCUCACCAGGAUAAUCUCAUGGACUGUAGCCGAUGGGGUGGCAGAGUCAGACACGACUGAGCACUCAAACUAAGUUCUAGUUUCCUAGGGUGGAAGCUUGGAUGAUUGAUUUUAGGUCUUUCUUUAUUGUAAAAUACGCAUCCAACACUAUACAUAUUCUUUCAAGCACUGUUUUCAUAGCAUCUGCUAUCUGAUAAGUUGUAUUUUCAUUGAGUUCAAAACAUUUUUUUAAAUUCUCUUGAAACUUAUUGAGAUAUACUGUGUAAUCUCUAAUUGAGGAUUUUCUUGAUAUUUUUCUGCUAUUGAUUUCUUUCAUUGUGAUUAAUUUCAUUGUGAUCUGAAGGCAGCUUUGUAUGAUUUCUACGUUUUUAA
ensembl:lncRNA